rnacentral:rRNA from 1 species
AGUGAACGCUGGCGGUAGGCCUAACACAUGCAAGUCGAACGGCAGCACAGUAAGAGCUUGCUCUUACGGGUGGCGAGUGGCGGACGGGUGAGGAAUACAUCGGAAUCUACUUUUUCGUGGGUGAUAACGUAGGGAAACUUACGCUAAUACCGCAUACGACCUACGGGUGAAAGCAGGGGAUCUUCGGACCUUGCGCGAUUGAAUGAGCCGAUGUCGGAUUAGCUAGUUGGCGAGGUAAAGGCCCACCAAGGCGACGAUCCGUAGCUGGUCUGAGAGGAUGAUCAGCCACACUGGAACUGAGACACGGUCCAGACUCCUACGGGAGGCAGCAGUGGGGAAUAUUGGACAAUGGGCGCAAGCCUGAUCCAGCCAUACCGCGUGGGUGAAGAAGGCCUUCGGGUUGUAAAGCCCUUUUGUUGGGAAAGAAAAGCAGCAGGUUAAUACCCCGCUGUUCUGACGGUACCCAAAGAAUAAGCACCGGCUAACUUCGUG